rnacentral:rRNA from 1 species
UGGGGAAUAUUGGACAAUGGGCGAAAGCCUGAUCCAGCCAUGCCGCGUGUGUGAAGAAGGUCUUCGGAUUGUAAAGCACUUUAAGUUGGGAGGAAGGGCAGUAAGCGAAUACCUUGCUGUUUUGACGUUACCGACAGAAUAAGCACCGGCUAACUCUGUGCCAGCAGCCGCGGUAAUACAGAGGGUGCAAGCGUUAAUCGGAUUUACUGGGCGUAAAGCGCGCGUAGGCGGCUAAUUAAGUCAAAUGUGAAAUCCCCGAGCUUAACUUGGGAAUUGCAUUCGAUACUGGUUAGCUAGAGUGUGGGAGAGGAUGGUAGAAUUCCAGGUGUAGCGGUGAAAUGCGUAGAGAUCUGGAAGAAUACCGAUGGCGAAGGCAGCCAUCUGGCCUAACACUGACGCUGAGGUACGAAAGCAUGGGGAGCAAACAGG